rnacentral:rRNA from 1 species
UUGGAGGGCAAGUCUGGUGCCAGCAGCCGCGGUAAUUCCAGCUCCAAUAGCGUAUAUUAAAGUUGUUGCAGUUAAAAAGCUCGUAGUUGAAUUUCGGGAUCAAUACGUCGGUCGUGCUUUUUUAGUACGCACUGGCGUCAUUGGUUUCUCCUUUCUGACGAACCAUGAUGUCAUUAAUUUGGUGUUAUGGGAAGUUAGGGCUGUUACUUUGAAAAAAUUAGAGUGUUUAAAGCAGGCAUUAGCUUGGAUACAUUAGCAUGGAAUAAUGAAAUAGGACGUUCGAUCCUAUUUUGUUGGUUUCUAGGAUCAACGUAAUGAUUAAUAGGGAUAGUUGGGGGCAUUAAUAUUCAAUUGUCAGAGGUGAAAUUCUUGGAUUUAUUGAAGACUAACUACUGCGAAAGCAUUUGCCAAGGAUGUUUUCAUUAAUCAAGAACGAAAGUUAGGGGAUCGAAGACGAUCAGAUACCGUCGUAGUCUUAACCAUAAACUAUGCCGACUAGGGAUCGGAUGAUGUUAAUUUUUUAGUGACUCAUUCGGCGCCUUACGGGAAAC